AUUGAACGCUGGCGGCAUGCCUAACACAUGCAAGUCGAACGGUAACGCGGAGAGCUUGCUCUCUGGCGACGAGUGGCGGACGGGUGAGUAAUACUUAGGAAUCUACCCAGUAGUGGGGGACAACAUUCGGAAACGGAUGCUAAUACCGCAUACGCACUACGGUGGAAAGUGGGGGACCUUCGGGCCUCACGCUAUUGGAUGAGCCUAAGUCGGAUUAGCUUGUUGGUGAGGUAAUAGCUCACCAAGGCGACGAUCCGUAGCUGGUCUGAGAGGACGAUCAGCCACACUGGGACUGAGACACGGCCCAGACUCCUACGGGAGGCAGCAGUGGGGAAUAUUGGACAAUGGGCGCAAGCCUGAUCCAGCAAUGCCGCGUGUGUGAAGAAGGCCUGCGGGUUGUAAAGCACUUUCAGUAGAGAAGAAAAGCCUAGGGUUAAUACCCCUGAGUCUUGACGUAACCUACAGAAGAAGCACCGGCUAACUCCGUG
rnacentral:rRNA from 1 species